AGAUGUAUUUCCAUAGAUCGCACAUGGUCAUACUGUCAAUACUUACAUUUUAUUGAAUACUUACGAAGUGAAUAUGAUUUUUAGAAAUAUACAAGGGUGUUGGAGGAAAGGCUACCAGUCGGCGGUGAACAGUCGUGUUCAUUAGGAGAUGUGGCCCGUGUACGUCCCACUGCUGGCCAUGUCCGCCGUGUCGGCGAUAUCCGUCAUAUUCCUGUACUGCAAGAACCGGGGGAACAGCAGACAAGGCUACAUGGACGUCGAGGAGAAACCCUCGGACGAUCUGUGCUACCAAUCUUCCUGACUUGUUGGCUUCAGCUGCCAUCAUAAGAUUGCCAAGGCAAAGUGGGGCGACCGGGAGUAGCAACGAUAAACAAUGAAAAACAUGUUUUUGUAACAUUAUUUAUUAAAAUAUAUUCUACUAAAAUUCAUAACAUAGUAUGUACAUUUUCAACAGUACACCUCAAUAGGACAAUAAGGCACCUAUUUCUUAACUUAGAUAACAUAAAACCUACGACUUUUAAACCCAUAAAAUAUUUCAUGACAAUAAUUCAUACGCCAAAGUAACUUUCACCACAUAACGGUAUUCACCAAUCGAGUAACAAGGAAACAUAACGUAUCUACUUUGAGCAUUUAUUAACAAAUGUUUCAACUACAAAUAUAAACGGUGCCCACACAAUAUAAUAUGCAGGCACAUUACAAAAAUCACUUCUCUAACUCGUAUAGAUAUACUUCUAUUUAAAUAUAAUCGAGAUAAAAAUGCUUAUAAAAUCAUAUAUGUUCACUCCUACCUAGGUUCAAUAACGAUUUCUAGUGAUUUCCUAUAAUACCAUCACCUACUUGUUACUAUCUUGGUAACUUACAUAUUCCAAAUACUAGAGCGAAAUACAAAAUUGUAGUGCUUAUUAAUUUCGACAUGACACCAAAUAAA
rnacentral:lncRNA from 1 species